CAAACUCAACCGGGUGUUCUUGUCCUUCCUGGAUUCAGGGGCACCCUUUCAGAUAAAAACAUGGACCUGAUUGGCAUCAUCCUGUAUCCAUGGAAACCUUGUUAAGUACCUCUCUCAACAUGAAAGAGAAUGGA